CUGCCCACUGAUUAUAUUGAAGGGCCGCAGUAUUUUGACUGUGCAAAGGUAGCAUAAUCAUUAGUUUUUUAAUUGAAAGCUGGUAUGAAUGAUUGGACGUAAUAAUAUCUGUCUUUAUUUAAUAGUUUGAAUUUAAUUUUUUAGUUAAAAAGCUAAAAUUUUUAUAAAAGACGAGAAGACCCUAUAGAUCUUUAUGUUAGUUUAAUUUAAAGUAUUGAGUAUUUAUAUUUUUUAUAUUAAAUUAUACAUUUUAUUGGGGUAAUAUUAAGAUUUGGUUAAUUCUUAAAUUUAGUUUCAUAGAUUAAUGUUUUUUUGAUCCUGUAUUAUAGGAUUUAAGAUUAAGUUACCUUAGGGAUAACAGCGUAAUUUUUUUGGAGAGUUCUUAUCGAUAAAAAAGUUUGCGACCUCGAUGUUGGAUUAAAAUUAAUUUUAGGUGAAGUAGUUUAAAUAUUUGGUCUGUUCGACCAUUAAAAUUUU
rnacentral:rRNA from 1 species